CCUUACCAAGGCGCAAGAGUGAAACCUGGUUAAGGAACUCGGCAAAAUAGCCCCGUAACUUCGGAAUAAGGGGUGCCCUCUUCGGAGGGCCGCAGUGAAAUGGAUCAACCGACUGUUUAGCAAAAACACAGCAUUCUGCCAAGACGCAAGUCGAAGUAUAGGAUGUGACACGUGACCAAUGCCGAAAGAUUAAGGCAAGGGGUUAGCGCAAGCGAAGCUCUGAACCCAAGUCCCGGUGAAUGUCGGCCGUAACAAUAACGGUCCUAAGGUAGCGAAAUUCCUUGUCGGGUAAGUUCCGACCUGCACGAAUCGUGCAACGAGUUGAUCGCUGUCUCAACCAGGAGCUCAGUGAAGUUGUAGUGCCGGUGAAGAUGCCGGCUACCCGCAGAAGGACGGAAAGACCCUAUGAACCUUAACUGUAAGCUGUCACUGGUUUUUCGGUUUCAAUGCUCAGAGUAAGUGGGAGACUUUGAAGCGGCCCUUCAGGGGGCUGCAGAGUCAUCAAUGAGACACCACCCUUUGAAUUUGGAGAAUCUAACAUCCUGCCCUGAAUCGGGCGGAAGGACAAUGGCAGCCGGUCAGUUUUACUGGGGCGGUAUCCUCCCAAAGUGUAACGGAGGAGCGCGAAGUUUGGCUCAGCGCGGUUGGCAAUCACGUUUCGAGUGUAUAGGCAUAAGCCAGACUAACUGUGAGACGGACAUGUCGAGCAGAUACGAAAGUAGGCCUAAGUGAUCCGGUAGUUGAAUGUGGAAUUGCUAUCGCUCAACGGAUAAAAGGUACUCUAGGGAUAACAGGCCGAUCGCGCCCAAGAGUUCAUAUCGACGGCGCGGUUUGGCACCUCGAUGUCGGCUCAUCGCAUCCUGGGGCUGGAGAAGGUCCCAAGGGUUUGGCUGUUCGCCAAUUAAAGCGGUACGCGAGCUGGGUUCAGAACGUCGCGAGACAGUUCGGUCCUCUAUCCUCUGUGGGCGUAGGAGAAUUGAGGGGUUCAAACCCUAGUACGAGAGGACCGGGUUUGACGCACCUCUGGUGUACCAGUUAUCCUGUCAAGGGCACGGCUGGGUAGCUAAGUGCGGACUAGAUAAGCGCUGAAAGCAUCUAAGCGUCAAGCUAUUCCCAAGAUAAAUUCUCCCUGAAGGAUCGUGGUAGACUACCACGUCGAUAGGCUGCAGGUAUAAGUUUAGUAAUAAGUUCAGCCGAGCAGUACUAAUCAUCC
rnacentral:rRNA from 1 species